UCCAAACGGUGCCUUAAGAUCUGAGCUCUGUGAAGAAUGAGGCUAUCAGAGAGGUUGGGAUUUCUUCAAGGGUGGUUGCCCCUCUCUGUUUCUUCUUAGCCUAUGAUUUCUGUUUUGCCAUCAGUAAACUAAAAUCCAACAGCCCUUCAUCUUUCAGCAACAACAUUCAGUUCUGGUUAUUGAACCCGGGUUCGAUACCUCUCAUUUAGACAGAAGAAAAAAAAAGGGGUACAUUGAACGGUUGAAUCCGGAUUGUUCACAAAUCCUUGAAAGCCCAAAUCAUGCAAUGUAAGGCACGCAGUCCUUGAAGCUUCAUCUUACUCACUCAAAAUUCGCUCAUAAGCUGAAAAAAUUAGUGCAAUAAAAUACCCAACUCUGUCUAAUAAGCUUCGCACCAUGGCUCCAAGCCUUUGACAGGUAAAGCAUCUCAAAUUUCCCUGAGCUUCUGCUCUCAGAAAAAUCGGAUCGGCAAAACGGCCUAGCACUACUGCUACUACUAUUAUUGAGUUUGCUCACUUUCUCGAUAAGCCCGCUUAUCUGAAGGCUGUGAUGAUGAUUUUAACAUUUUGAGGGGAUCCAUCCAUCUUUCUGGGGUUGGGUCUCUCUCUGUUUUCUAUGUCAAUGUUUUCCUCACGUCACAUUGCAACCGGUUUUGCAGCCAUGACGGUGUCAUUUUCUCUUUCUGAUGCCUUUAAUUGUUGCCGUGAAUUGGUCUGAAAUGGAACUUGUGAGGCCCCGUUUCCCUUUCUGUCACCAUUGUUCUGUAUUCUCUUGGAUGCAAUGAUGAUUUUUCUUAGUUGUGAUUUGAGCAUGGAGGAAAUCGUGGACCCGUAUCUUGGUGGUGCAGCCCUGAUGGCAUGUGAGAUGAGAAGAAUUUAAAGAUGGGUUCUUUCUUCUCUUUCAUGCAACUGGGCUUGUGCGCUACGGCGGCGUCUUUCCUUUCAUUUUUCCCUGAUCAAAAUUAAACAUCUGAGCCUUCUAAGGUUUAUGCUCUGCCAGUGUUUGUGAGCAUUCAAAAACCUUGAAAUUUUAGCUCUCUGAAGAAUGAGGCACCAGAAAGAUGGGAUUUUUUAAAGGGUGGUUGUCCUCUCUGUUUAGCCUGUGAUUUGUUUCGUAUGAAAACCAACAGCCCUUUUACAGCCUCGUUUGGUUGGGACUGUGGAAUGGGAACUGGAAAGGGAAUGCAUUUAUAUAGGGAAAGUGUCUCUAUCACAACUUCCCAUGCGUUCUUUUUUUGUUUCAUAUGUUAUGACAAUGACAAUGAUGAUGAUGAUGCAUUGAAGGUAGUGUUUAUUUAAAGAAAAUGAAAGGCUGUGAUGAUAUUUCUUGUGAGAGCAAGUGAUAUAGGCAUUGACGGUGGAAUCUGACCCGUAUCUUGGCUGGGCAACCUAGAUGGCAUUUUGGGCGAAAACUCCCUUUCUAACAUGCAACUGGUGAUUUGCAGCCAUGGCGGUGUCAUGGCACCAAUGCCAGGUUAAGUAUGGAUCUGAGCCUUGUUUGUGAUGUCUACCUGUUUAAGCCAUAUUUACUGCUAUACAUCUUUUGGCUUUUCUCGUUUUACUGCUAGCUGUAGUUGGAUAGUUAUUCCAGGACGUCUGAAGUUUGAUUCACAAGUCUGAUGAUUGAUGACUCUGAUUGUCAAAAAAUACUUCACUAUUUCAGCACCGUAACUUGUAAUUAUCUUCCAAUAUUCAAUGGACAAACAUGAUAACUUUUUGAAAGCACGCUUGUUUUGUAUGUGGAGUGCGUUUAGUUAAUUAAUUACAUCUCAUGUACUAACAUUCAAUUUUUUGAAGUAAUCUUACGUGAAGGAGUUUGCAUUCCUAUGGUUGAUUGUAGCUGCUGCUGUGAUGUUACGCGAUUAGCUUUUACUUGGUUGCUACAUACAUACGAAGUAAGAAUUUUGACCCAAACUUGAUUUGAACCUCUCCAAUGUUGCCUUGAUGUCAAAGUAAAGAUCUGAGCCAUUUGCUUCAAUGUUUUUUUUAUUUAGGACGAAAAUGUUAAUCACAUAUAAGAUUUUCUUAGAUGUGGUGAUAGCUAUUGCUUCUAGAGCUGUUGCUUGUUCUAACCUGCUUAUUUGCUGCGAAGUCUGAAAGUAUCAGCCUUCUUCUCAAAUUUUCUGCUCAAAAAAUGAAUGAGGCAACAGAGAGAGAUUGGGAUUUUUGUAAGGGUGGUUGCCCACUCUCUAUUUUAGCCAAUGAUUUCCUCACCCAAAUAAACCAACAGCCCUUGUUGUAGCAGGAUCAUGCUAAUCCUUUCUCUGUAUCAUUUCAAUUUCUUACAGUAUCCUUCCACUUCAAAAUAAGCUGUGGUGAAAUGUUUCCAAAGCCAGUAUGGUCAGGCAUUGAGGUGCUGACCAGUGACCCCUAUAUAUUUUUGGCAACCUGGAUGGCAGAAUUGGGGUGGGGGGAUGAGGUUCAUUCUCUUCCCUCUCUCAAAUGCAACCGUUAUUGUAGGAUUAUGCAUUUACUCAUUGUUGAAGCAAGAAAAACUUGCCCCAAUUCUCCCUGUACUCCUUAUUUUUCUCCACUCCUAAACAACACCAAACUAGGCCUUUCUUAAUAUAUGCCAGCAAUAAAAACAUGCCUCAAGAUGGAUAUCAAUGGUCUUCAGGAUAAAGAAGAAUGAGGCAGCAGAGGAUGGGAAUUUGUUAAGGAGGUGGCCCAUCUGGAUGCCAACAAUUUCAUUAUUCACCAUCAGUUAAAGAUGGACGGAACUAACAGCCCUGGUAGAAAAUAAGGGGAUGCCUUAUAAAGCAACAGUGUGUCUUCUCCUGUUCAAAUAAUUGGCUAUGAUGAUGAUGUUUUCUUUAUCUGUGACAUCAAGGUAAAGCUGACCCAUGUCUUGGCAGGGCAACCUGAAUCAUGUGUGAGAUGAGAAGGAUUCGAAAAUGGGUUCUUUCUCACUUGCAUGUAAUUAGGUUUUUGCAGCCAUUGUGGUGUCCUCCUUCCUCUGAUCAAAAGAAUAGAUCUGAGCCAACUUUCUUUACUGUUGCUUAUUUUUGGCUUGCUAGUACUGCCUGCUAUUAUGGAUUCGUUGAAAUUUCAGCUCUAUGAAGAAUGAGGCAUCGAAGAGAUGGGAUUUUUUUGAAGCGCAACCUGGAUGGCAUUUUGGGUCGUGAUGAAUUGCUUUUUAUACGCCCUUUAUGACAUGCAACUGGUGAUUUGCUGCCAUGCUGGUCUCACAGCGUCAAUGCCUGGUCAAAUACGAAUCUGAGCCUCAUUGUCCACACAGUGUCUUGUCUUGAUACGCAUGCGUCUUCUGCUCUACUUGUAUAUUGCAGCGGCUGUGUUUGGAUACUUAAUUUCAUUAGGUUUCGAGUUCAAUUCUCUGGUUUGAUGACUGAUGAGUUUGAUUGGUAAAAAGAGAACAAUUUUUACCAAUGUAAAUUGGAAUCAUCUUUUUAUAUUUACCAGAAAAACAUCUAUAUGGAACA